rnacentral:rRNA from 1 species
UGCGUAGGCGGCCUUCCAGGUCCGGUGUGAAAUCUCACGGCUCAACCGUGAAAUGGCGCUGGAAACCGGAAGGCUUGAGUGUGCUAGGGGUGUGUGGAACUUCCAGUGGAGCGGUGAAAUGUGUUGAUAUUGGAAGGAACGCCGGUGGCGAAAGCGACACACUGGGGCACAACUGACGCUGAGGCACGAAAGCUAGGGUAGCGAACGGGAUUAGAUACCCCGGUAGUCCUAGCCGUAAACGCUGAGUACUAGUUGGGAGGGGUUUCGGCCUCUCCGGACGCAGAGAAAUCAUUAAGUACUCCGCCUGGGGAGUAUGGUCGCAAGGCUGAA